rnacentral:rRNA from 1 species
GAGUUUGAUCCUGGCUCAGAUUGAACGCUGGCGGCAGGCUUAACACAUGCAAGUCGAGCGGGGGAAGGUAGCUUGCUACUGGACCUAGCGGCGGACGGGUGAGUAAUGCUUAGGAAUCUGCCUAUUAGUGGGGGACAACAUCUCGAAAGGGAUGCUAAUACCGCAUACGUCCUACGGGAGAAAGCAGGGGAUCUUCGGACCUUGCGCUAAUAGAUGAGCCUAAGUCGGAUUAGCUAGUUGGUGGGGUAAAGGCCUACCAAGGCGACGAUCUGUAGCGGGUCUGAGAGGAUGAUCCGCCACACUGGGACUGAGACACGGCCCAGACUCCUACGGGAGGCAGCAGUGGGGAAUAUUGGACAAUGGGGGGAACCCUGAUCCAGCCAUGCCGCGUGUGUGAAGAAGGCCUUAUGGUUGUAAAGCACUUUAAGCGAGGAGGAGGCUACUUUAGUUAAUACCUAGAGAUAGUGGACGUUACUCGCAGAAUAAGCACCGGCUAACUCUGUGCCAGCAGCCGCGGUAAUACAGAGGGUGCGAGCGUUAAUCGGAUUUACUGGGCGUAAAGCGUGCGUAGGCGGCUUAUUAAGUCGGAUGUGAAAUCCCCGAGCUUAACUUGGGAAUUGCAUUCGAUACUGGUGAGCUAGAGUAUGGGAGAGGAUGGUAGAAUUCCAGGUGUAGCGGUGAAAUGCGUAGAGAUCUGGAGGAAUACCGAUGGCGAAGGCAGCCAUCUGGCCUAAUACUGACGCUGAGGUACGAAAGCAUGGGGAGCAAACAGGAUUAGAUACCCUGGUAGUCCAUGCCGUAAACGAUGUCUACUAGCCGUUGGGGCCUUUGAGGCUUUAGUGGCGCAGCUAACGCGAUAAGUAGACCGCCUGGGGAGUACGGUCGCAAGACUAAAACUCAAAUGAAUUGACGGGGGCCCGCACAAGCGGUGGAGCAUGUGGUUUAAUUCGAUGCAACGCGAAGAACCUUACCUGGCCUUGACAUACUAGAAACUUUCCAGAGAUGGAUUGGUGCCUUCGGGAAUCUAGAUACAGGUGCUGCAUGGCUGUCGUCAGCGCGUGUCGUGAGAUGUUGGGUUAAGUCCCGCAACGAGCGCAACCCUUUUCCUUACUUGCCAGCAUUUCGGAUGGGAACUUUAAGGAUACUGCCAGUGACAAACUGGAGGAAGGCGGGGACGACGUCAAGUCAUCAUGGCCCUUACGGCCAGGGCUACACACGUGCUACAAUGGUCGGUACAAAGGGUUGCUACACAGCGAUGUGAUGCUAAUCUCAAAAAGCCGAUCGUAGUCCGGAUUGGAGUCUGCAACUCGACUCCAUGAAGUCGGAAUCGCUAGUAAUCGCGGAUCAGAAUGCCGCGGUGAAUACGUUCCCGGGCCUUGUACACACCGCCCGUCACACCAUGGGAGUUUGUUGCACCAGAAGUAGCUAGCCUAACUGCAAAGAGGGCGGUUACCACGGUGUGGCCGAUGACUGGGGUG